rnacentral:rRNA from 1 species
CGCAUCUGUGCAUGCAGCAUAUCAAUAAGCGGAGGAAAAGAAACUAAGCAAGGAUUCCCCUAGUAACGGCGGAGUGAAGCGGGAAGAGCUCAAAUUUGAAAUCUUAAAGGGUUUCCCUUUACGAAUUGUAGUUUAAAGAAGUGUUUUCUGUUGAGGUUUUGGUAAAAGUUCUUUGGAAUAGGACAUCAUAGAGGGUGAGAAUCCCGUAUUUGACCUUUACUUUCAACUUUGUGAUACACUUUCAAAGAGUCGGAUUGUUUGGGAAUGCAGUCCAAAAUGGGUGGUAAAUUUCAUCUAAAGCUAAAUAUUGGCGAGAGACCAGAUAGCGAACAAGUACCGUGAGGGAAAGAUGAGAAGAACUUUGAAAAGAGGAGUUAAACAGUACGUGAAAUUGUCAAAAGGGAAGCGUUUGACACCAGUGUUGUUUUUCUGAAAAUCAAUUAAAGAACUGUUUAUGCUAAGUUGUUUAGACUUUAUCAGCUAACUGUUUAGUUUUGAGCUUUUCUUUAAUGCACUUUUCAGUUAACAAGUCAACAUCAAUUUCUUUUGCUGUAAAAAAGCUUGAGGAAGGUGGCUUGAGAUUCGUCUUAAGUGUUUAUAGCCUCUUGCCUAUGCAGUCGGAGAGAUUGAGGUCUGCAGCGUAGAUCCUUCGGGGCUAAAUGCAUUUGUGCUAAGUUAUAACAUUUUAUAGACAACUUGUUGACUAUGAUUUGUCUUGUAGCUUACUCGCUUAUGUUAUUUUACCUACGCUUAGGAUGUUGACAGCAGUAUAGACUGU